rnacentral:rRNA from 1 species
AUUGAACGCUGGCGGCAGGCCUAACACAUGCAAGUCGAACGAGUGGCGGACGGGUGAGUAAUGUCUGGGAAACUGCCCGAUGGAGGGGGAUAACUACUGGAAACGGUAGCUAAUACCGCAUACCAUCAGAUGUGCCCAGAUGGGAUUAGCUUGUAGGUGGGGUAAAGGGUCACCUAGGCGACGAUCCCUAUCUGGUCUGAGAGGAUGACCAGCCACACUGGAACUGAGACACGUGCCAGACUCCUACGGGAGGCAGCAGUGGGGAAUAUUGGACAAUGGGCGCAAGCCUGAUGCAGCCAUGCCGCGUGGUUGAAGAAGGCCUUCGGGUUGUAAAGUACUUUCAGCGGGGAGGCGUUACCCGCAGAAGAAGCACCGGCUAACUCCGUGCCAGCAGCCGCGGUAAUUC